GGAUGUGAGGGCGAUCUGGCUGCGACAUCUGUCACCCCACUGAUCACCAGGGUUGAUUCGGCUGAUCUGGCUGGCUAGACGGGUGUCCCCUUCCUCCCUCACCGCUCCAUGUGCGUCCCUCCCGAAGCUGCGCGCUCGGUGGAAGAGGACGACCAUCCCAGAUAGACGGAGUGUACCGUUCUUCGGUCAAGGGUAUACGAUAGCUGCGCUCCCCUGCUAGAACCUCCAGACAAGCUCAUAGGCUGCCUUAUUCAUUGUUCCAUAGGCUGCUGCUUCUUCCUCUUCAGACUUUCUGUUCUACAUAUUGCUGAAGUGCGAA